rnacentral:misc_RNA from 1 species
GAUGAAGAACGUAGUGAAAUGCGAUAAGUAAUGUGAAUUGCAGAAUUCAGUGAAUCAUCGAAUCUUUGAACGCACAUUGCGCCCCCUGGUAUUCCGGGGGGCAUGCCUGUUCGAGGGUCAUUUCACCACUCAAGCCUCGCUUGGUAUUGGGCAACGCGGUCCGCCGCGUGCCUCAAAUCGACCGGCUGGGUCUUCUGUCCCCUAAGCGUUGUGGAAACUAUUCGCUAAAGGGUGCUCGGGAGGCUACGCCGUAAAACAAACCCAUUUCUAAGGUUGACCUCGGAUCAGGUAGGGAUACCCGCUGAACUUAAGCAUAUCAAUAAGCGGAGGA